rnacentral:lncRNA from 1 species
CCGCCACCGCCACCUAUCUGCACUCGCCGUCUCUCACGACCGUCCUCCUCCUCGCCUCCUUGUUCGUCACUCUCGACGCCGCAAAGUCAGCAAAAGAAUCACCGCCGUCCGCUUGCGCCGAUGAGCUCGUCCGGUUCUCGCCGUGCCUGCCGUAAGUGGCGUAGCCGCCGAACAACCACUCCGACUCUCCGGCGUCCAGGUGCUGCCACGUGUUCUCGUCGGCGGAGGAGUCCGGCCACGCCGUUUGCCUCUGCUACCUGGUCCAGGAUCCUCUGAUGCUACGCUUUCCGGUGACCGUCGCUCGCGUCCUCCCUCUCUCUUCCAUUUGCCGUCGCCGGAACUCCACCGC